rnacentral:rRNA from 1 species
AGAUCUUGAGAUCCAGAUGAAUGACGGGCAAUGCCGUCAGCCCUUCGGGGCAUCUGAGACAGGUGGUGCAUGGUUGUCGUCAGCUCGUGUCGUGAGAUGUUGGGUUAAGUCCCGCAACGAGCGCAACCCUUGUCCAUAGUAGCCAGCAGUAAGAUGGGCACUCUAUGGAGACUGCCAGGGAUAACCUGGAGGAAGGUGGGGAUGACGUCAAAUCAUCAUGCCCCUUAUGAUCUGGGCCACACACGUGCUACAAUGUCGUAAACAAAGGGACGCAACCCCGCGAGGGUGAGCAAAUCCCAAAAAUAACGACCCAGUUCGGACUGCAGGCUGCAACCCGCCUGCACGAAGCUGGAAUCGCUAGUAAUCGCAGAUCAGAAUGCUGCGGUGAAUACGUUCCCGGGUCUUGUACACACCGCCCGUCACACCAUGGGAGUCGGAAAUGCCCGAAGUCAGUGACCCAACCGUAAGGAGGGAGCUGCCGAAGGCAGGUCAGAUAACUGGGGUGAAGUCGUAACAAGGUAGCCGUAUCAGAAGGUGCGGCUGGAUCACCUCCUUAUG